GUGCUUCCAAAAACAAAAUAUAACGGGAGUGUUUUACCAAAACAAUUACGGCAACAAACCAACUCGUCUCUACUCUCGAGAAGUCUUACAUUUUAUAGUUUUUCAGUAUAGAAAUGAUUAGCUACUUCAUAUAGAUGCGUAUUUAUCAGGAGCUCUCUCGUAUAUAUCGCAGAUCGUAAAGUAGUCUUCAAAGUAUUUCGAUUAAAAUUCUAAGCCGACUAAUUUUGAAAUCUUAGACUUAGUCUUAGUUCAAAAUAUAUGUUGACUUGGAAAUAAUAAAAUCGGCGUUUAAACAAAGCCAGUUUGAAGAAUUUGCCACAAAUUGGCAGCUAUUUGCAAAUGUGUUGCAAAUAUAGUAAAUAAGUUUGCAAGCCUGCAAAGAUGUAGGCAAAUGUGAAGUGAAUUUAUCGAGUUGCAAAGAUGAAUUCGCAAUGGUUGCGAAUUCAAACUACUAAAUUUGCAUCAAAUUUGCAACUAUUGCAAAUUUGGUGCGAACCUAUUUUUUCGUCCCGUGAAAUUCCCAUGGUUUUUCCAUGGUUUUUAUCAUUGGGCCCCCACUUUUCAUUUACAUGGUAUUGCCAUACUUUAUGAAGACUGCUACUCAUAAAUUCCCAUGGUUUUUCCAUGUUUUUUUAUCAUCGGGCCCCCACUUUUCAUUUACAUGGUAUUGACAUACUUUAUGAAGACUGCUACUCAUAAAUUUCCAUGGUUUUUCCAUGUUUUUUAUCAUCGGGCCCCCACUUUUCAUUUACAUGGUAUUGACAUACUUUAUGAAGACUGCUACUCAUAAAUUUCCAUGGUUUUUCCAUGGUUUUUAUCAUCGGGCCCCCACUUUUCAUUUACAUGGUAUUGACAGACUUUAUGAAGACUGAUACUCAUAAAUUUCCAUGGUUUUUCCAUGGUUUUUAUCAUCGGGCCCCCACUUUUCAUUUACAUGGUAUUGACAUACUUUAUGAAGCAGUACUGCUACUCAUAAAUUUCCAUGGUCUUCCCAUGUUUUUAUCAUCGGGCCCCCACUUUUCAUUUACAUGGUAUUGACAUACUUUAUAAAGACUGAUACUCAUAAAUUUCCAUGGUUUUUCCAUGGUUUUUAUCAUCGGGCCCUCACUUUUCAUUUACAUGGUAUUGACAUACUUUAUGAAGACUGCUACUCAUAAAUUUCCAUGGUUUUUCCAUG